AUUGAACGCUGGCGGUAUGCUUAACACAUGCAAGUCGAACGGCAGCAUGGUCUAGCUUGCUAGACUGAUGGCGAGUGGCGGACGGGUGAGUAACGCGUAGGAAUAUGCCUUGAAGAGUGGGACGACUUGGGGAAACUCAAGCUAAUACCGCAUGUACUCGAGAGAGUAAAGCUGGGGACCUUUAGGCCUGGCGCUUUAAGAUUAGCCUGCGUCCGAGUAGCUAGUUGGUAGGGUAAAGGCCUACCGAGGCGACGAUCGGUAGCUGGUCUGAGAGGAUGAUCAGCCACACUGGAACUGAGAGACGGUCCAGACUCCUACGGGAGGCAGCAGUGGGGAAUAUUGGACAAUGGGGGGAACCCUGAUCCAGCAAUGCCGCGUGUGUGAAGAAGGCCUGAGGGUUGUAAAGCACUUUCAGUGGGGAGGAGGUUUGGAAGGUUAAGAGCUAUUCAAAUGGACGUUACCCACAGAAGAAGCACCGGCUAACUCCGUGCCAGCCGCCGCCGUAA
rnacentral:rRNA from 1 species